GAUGAAGAACGCAGCGAAAUGCGAUAAGUAAUGUGAAUUGCAGAAUUCAGUGAAUCAUCGAGUCUUUGAACGCACAUUGCGCCCGGCAGUACUCUGCCGGGCAUGCCUGUUCGAGCGUCAUUUCAACCCUCAAGCCCUGCUUGGUGUUGGGGUCCCACGGCCGCCGUGGGCCCUGAAAGGAAGUGGCGGGCUCGCUACAACUCCGAGCGUAGUAAUUCAUUAUCUCGCUUAGGGCGUUGGGCGGCGCUCCUGCCGUUAAAGAACCAUCUUUAACUCAAGGUUGACCUCGGAUCAGGUAGGAAUACCCGCUGAACUUAAGCAUAUCAAUAAGCGGAGGA
rnacentral:misc_RNA from 1 species